AAAAAAAGCCAAGAGAACCAUCACCAUUCUACCAAAAUACACAACCCCAACCCCAAGAACCGCUCAUAUCAAUAUCAUCUCUUAAUAGGUAAAUGCCUCUAUUUUGGAAAACAACUCUAAGUUGUUUUCCAAAUCUUAUCUAAAUUUUGGAGAACUGAAAAGCUAGUUUUCAAGAUCUCCAUUCGAAAAAUUGAUACAUAUGAACACAAAACUCUAUUUUCCAUUUUUCAGUGAAGAAGCCCUAAAAGUUUUUCUAUAAUCGUGAGAACUACCCACCACAAUCCAAUUUUAUAUGUAGAUGACUCCAAUAUGGUGCUACAAACAUAAAUGUUAAAAAAAUAUCCAGAUAUUUAGCACACAC
rnacentral:misc_RNA from 1 species